CAGCAGCCGCGGUAAUACGUAGGUGGCAAGCGUUGUCCGGAUUUAUUGGGCGUAAAGCGAGCGCAGGCGGUUUCUUAAGUCUGAUGUGAAAGCCCCCGGCUCAACCGGGGAGGGUCAUUGGAAACUGGGAAACUUGAGUGCAGAAGAGGAGAGUGGAAUUCCAUGUGUAGCGGUGAAAUGCGUAGAUAUAUGGAGGAACACCAGUGGCGAAGUCGGCUCUCUGGUCUGUAACUGACGCUGAGGCUCGAAAGCGUGGGGAGCAAACAGGAUUAGAUACCCGUGUAGUCCCUGUCUCUUAUAA
rnacentral:rRNA from 1 species